AGAACCUGAAACCGUGUGCUUACAAGUAGUCAGAGCCCGUUAAUGGGUGAUGGCGUGCCUUUUGUAGAAUGAACCGGCGAGUUACGAUUUGAUGCAAGGUUAAGCAGUAAAUGUGGAGCCGUAGCGAAAGCGAGUCUGAAUAGGGCGUUUAGUAUUUGGUCGUAGACCCGAAACCAGGUGAUCUACCCUUGGUCAGGUUGAAGUUCAGGUAACACUGAAUGGAGGACCGAACCGACUUACGUUGAAAAGUGAGCGGAUGAACUGAGGGUAGCGGAGAAAUUCCAAUCGAACCUGGAGAUAGCUGGUUCUCUCCGAAAUA
rnacentral:rRNA from 1 species